rnacentral:ncRNA from 2 species
GGUCACGAGUUCCGGCGACAAGUCUCGGCUGGCCGGACGGCAACCCUCCGCUGCGGUGGGGUGCCCCGAGUAACGACCUGGCGCGUCGCCGCCCGGCGUCUGCGCAAGCGCAACGA